AUUGAACGCUGGCGGCAUGCCUAACACAUGCAAGUCGAACGGGGCAGCAAUGCCUAGUGGCGGACGGGUGAGGAAUACGUAGGAAUCUGCCCUUAAGUGGGGGAUAACCAGGGGAAACCCUGACUAAUACCGCAUGAUCUCUUCGGAGCAAAGAGGGGGACCGCAAGGCCUCUCGCUUCUGGAUGAGCCUACGAUCUGAUUAGCUAGUUGGUAGGGUAAAGGCCUACCAAGGCGACGACCAGUAACUGGUCUGAGGGGAUGAUCAGUCACACCGGAACUGAGACACGGUCCGGACUCCUACGGGAGGCAGCAGUGGGGAAUAUUGGACAAUGGGCGCAAGCCUGAUCCAGCAAUGCCGCGUGUGUGAAGAAGGCCUUCGGGUUGUAAAGCACUUUAGCCUGGAAAGAAAAAACUUUGGUUAACACCCAAAGUCUUGACGGUACCAGGAGAAUAAGCACCGGCUAACUCUGUGCCAGCAGCCGCCGUAACAC
rnacentral:rRNA from 1 species